rnacentral:misc_RNA from 1 species
GAAAUGCGAUAACUAGUGUGAAUUGCAGAAUUCCGUGAAUCAUCGAGUCUUUGAAUGCACAUUGCGCCCCCUGGUAUUCCGGGGGGCAUGCCUGUCCGAGCGUCAUUGCUGCCCAUCAAGCACGGCUUGUGUGUUGGGUCGUCGUCCCCUCUCCGGGGGGGACGGGCCCCAAAGGCAGCGGCGGCACCGCGUCCGAUCCUCGAGCGUAUGGGGCUUUGUCACCCGCUCUGUAGGCCCGGCCGGCGCUUGCCGAACGCAAAUCAAUCUUUUUCCAGGUUGACCUCGGAUCAGGUAGGGAUACCCGCUGAACUUAAGC